rnacentral:misc_RNA from 1 species
GGAAAAAAGAGUGGCUGUGAACAGUACCUGAAGUAUUCAAUGUUUGUUUGUGUGUGUAUUAAAUGGAAAAAUGUUGUCCUUCAUGGGAUAAACCCCCUUUUGAAUAUGCGAAAAAUGGAUAUUUUGACUGCAUAUUCUUCAGGUGCACUAUACUUUUGAACAGCCACUGUUGCUAAUAAAUCUUUUUUUGAUUAAGCAACUGCUUUAAUUUUUC